rnacentral:rRNA from 1 species
AGUGAACGCUGGCGGUAGGCCUAACACAUGCAAGUCGAACGGCAGCACAGUAAGAGCUUGCUCUUACGGGUGGCGAGUGGCGGACGGGUGAGGAAUACAUCGGAAUCUACUUUUUCGUGGGGGAUAACGUAGGCAAACUUACGCUAAUACCGCAUACGACCUACGGGUGAAAGCAGGGGAUCUUCGGACCUUGCGCGAUUGAAUGAGCCGAUGUCGGAUUAGCUAGUUGGCGGGGUAAAGGCCCACCAAGGCGACGAUCCGUAGCUGGUCUGAGAGGAUGAUCAGCCACACUGGAACUGAGACACGGUCCAGACUCCUACGGGAGGCAGCAGUGGGGAAUAUUGGACAAUGGGCGCAAGCCUGAUCCAGCCAUACCGCGUGGGUGAAGAAGGCCUUCGGGUUGUAAAGCCCCUUUGUUGGGAAAGAAAAGCAGCAGGUUAAUACCCCGCUGUUCUGACGGUACCCAAAGAAUAAGCACCGGCUAACUUCGUG